AACGCACAUUGCGCCUCUCGGUAUUCCGGGAGGCACGCCUGUUCGAGCGCCAUUACACACUCCAAGCACUGCUUGAUGUUGGACGAUGCGGCACCUCCUUUGGGGGGUUGCUGCACGUCUGGAACGCGUGGGCGCCCGCCGCCGGACCACGAGCGUAGCAAGACACUAGUCAAUUCGCUGAGUGGGCUCUGACGGAGGGUCGCCGUAACCAUCUAUUUAACGAGUUUGGCCUCGGAUCAGGCGGGGAUACCCGCUGAACUUAA
rnacentral:misc_RNA from 1 species